GAUCAUGGCUCAGAGUGAACGCUGGCGGCAGGCCUAAUACAUGCAAGUCGAACGGCAGCACAGUGGAGCUUGCUCCAUGGGUGGCGAGUGGCGGACGGGUGAGGAAUACAUGGGAAUCUGCCCAGUCGUGGGGGAUAACGUAUGGAAACGUACGCUAAUACCGCAUGCGCCCUUCGGGGGAAAGUCGGGGACCGCAAGGCCUGACGCGAUUGGAUGAGCCCAUGUUCGAUUAGCUAGUUGGCGGGGUAACGGCCCACCAAGGCGACGAUCGAUAGCUGGUCUGAGAGGAUGAUCAGCCACACUGGAACUGAGACACGGUCCAGACUCCUACGGGAGGCAGCAGUAGGGAAUAUUGGACAAUGGGCGCAAGCCUGAUCCAGCCUUGCCGCGUGAGUGAAGAAGGCCCUCGGGUUGUAAAGCUCUUUUGUUGGGGAAGAAAAGCAGUUGGUUAAUACCCGAUUGUUCUGACGGUACCCAAAGAAUAAGCACCGGCUAACUUCGUG
rnacentral:rRNA from 1 species